UACGUAGGGAGCAAGCGUUGUCCGGAAUCAUUGGGCGUAAAGCGCGCGUAGGCGGCCCUGUAAGUCCGUUGUGAAAGUCAAAGGCUCAACCUUUGAAAGCCGAUGGAUACUGCAGGGCUAGAGUCCGGAAGAGGCGAGUGGAAUUCCUGGUGUAGCGGUGGAAUGCGCAGAUAUCAGGAGGAACACCAACGGCGAAGGCAGCUCGCUGGGACGGUACUGACGCUGAGGCGCGAAAGCUAGGGGAGCAAACGGG
rnacentral:rRNA from 1 species